CAGGACUUAGUCACCCAGCUUCAGGAAAACCUACGGUGUGAAGGGAGGGCCCUGAGCAGCUAGAGGAGGAGAUGCCUUAGCUAGACCUAGAGGAGGGUGAGGCGUGCUCUUGUCUCCAGUCAUCACCCUUACACCCUUGCUGUUCAUCUUCAGAUUUCAGCUGAGAAUCACUUUCCCUAGGGCCUUCCCCUCCCUUGAAAUCUGAGUCAAGUGUCCCUUACACGACCUCUCAGUUUUGCCUGGAUGGAUCUUCUACUAGAUGGAAGUCCAGCAAGAACCUAUGUGGGUCCAGCACAUCUCCCUGAAUAUAGCUAAGAGUAGAUGGCUAACGCUGAGUAUAGAAAUUCAAAGGCUAGGCAACAGCUUUUGCAGAAAUCUACAAAAACAGCAACGUUUAUUUUCUCAUAUAUUACCUCAUCUAAUUAAUGAGUGAUAAUGGUAUGUAAAAGUAAGCCAAAUUGACCACUAUCAUAAUAGAUCCAUUUGGAAUAAGUUUGAAGCCACUGAGAAAGUAACAUUUGCUAAGAGAAGAUCCACCUUGGAAAUGGAAUGUACCAUGGGACCACAUAACCCCCAAUAUUUUUUAAGUUAACCUCUUACUUCUCAAAGAAAAUGUGACAAUUUUAUUUUAGUAUAGAAAUAAAUCCAUAUAAUGUGAAUCAUCUCUCGCCCCCUCCCGCCAAAAAAAAAAGCCCCAGAUGAUCAUUCUGAUAUUCAGUAUGCUAUAUAAGGUUUUUAAAAUUGCUAAUUUAAGAAGCGAUAGUUCUUACUUAAACCAGUUUUAUACACAUUAAAAUCUGCAUGGUUGUAGAAGCUUUAGAGCAGCAGAAUUGUAUAGCCAGCACUUCAUUUUAUAGACAACUAAACAGGACAGUUUGCGUAGGAUCACACCACUCGGUGGUGGCAGAGGCCAGGGAGAGCAGAAGUUCCUGACAGUGCCGUGGUCUGUCCUGCCACACAGCCAACGCUGAAGAUGGAAAGCCUGAGAGAACCAUUUCUUGGCAGGAGCUGGCCAUUACCCUCUGGUCAGAGGAAUCCUCGAAGAGAUGCUGAGCCUCAAUCCUUUGUCUGUGUGAACUGGCCAUAGGAAUGGAGCCUUCAAAGGAAUGGUUAAGAAUCUUGCAGUACAAUUGACACUGGUUUGAUCCCUAGUCUGAGAAGAUCCCACAU